CAGUCGCCGCGGUAAUACGAAGGGUGCAAGCGUUACUCGGAAUUACUGGGCGUAAAGCGUGCGUAGGUGGUUGUUUAAGUCUGCUGUGAAAGCCCUGGGCUCAACCUGGGAAUUGCAGUGGAUACUGGGCGACUAGAGUAAGGUAGAGGAUAGUGGAAUUUCCGGUGUAGCAGUGAAAUGCGUAGAGAUCGGAAGGAACAUCUGUGGCGAAGGCGACUAUCUGGGCCAUUACUGACACUGAGGCACGAAAGCGUGGGGAGCAAACAGGAUUAGAUACCCGUGUAGUCCCUGUCUCUUAUAC
rnacentral:rRNA from 1 species